UGAUGGAAUGUCCUGGACAGCGACACUGGCAAACCUAGAAGAAACGGUAACAGACCCACCUAUAACCAUACAGUAUGCCAAAUAUAGAAUAAGAAAACAGGUUUCUUCCAAAUCUCCUUUGGAAAAGAAUAGGAUCAGCAUCCCCCAUUCCACCCCAAACAAUAACAGAAGUAGAAGUUCAGAGGUCCCUCUCAAUUAAUUAACUACCAGAAAUAGCACUCUGUGGAUGGUCCCAUCAUCAAACAUAGGGAGAAGCUAUCUGGGACUCAAAAGGAUGUAACCUAAGAAUAAACAAAGGAGAAGCUGAUUACCAUGGAAAAGCGUGACCAAAAGGAAGGUGAAGAAUAUGUAAUAGAAAUAGUUAGCACUAAAUGGUCUGAAGGGGAUAGUGUGACUAUCAUCCAGAUUGACCCCACUCUAGAGCCUCUGACAAGACAGAGAAGGGAUAUGACUGAAGUAAAAACAGCAGUAACAACCCAGCUACCAUCCACUGCCAUUACGAAAAUGCCAGAAACAUCAGAAUCAGUUGGGUUCCUUCAAAACAUUUGGAACCUUCUAACCAAUCCCAGCAGUCUAUGUCAAGAAAAGGAGACUGUACCCCAAUUGAUGAUUCAACCCCAGAACUGUACAAGGACAAAUCUUUGAAAGAAGUAGCAAAAAAUGUAUGGCAUGAAUGGGCUCAAUAUACAGCAUCUAAAUUAAGACAAACAAAUAGCUUAUUGUGUGCGCCCUCUCCACUGAAACAAUUAGUGGUGGUACAUAAUCCUUAUGAUUAUGAGGAUUGUGCUGACUUUAAUAAAAACAUUUGUUAUUUGAGAAGAUCAGAAAGGCAUUGUCCAGCUCAAUGUUUGUCAUAUUUGGAUAAUCCAUCCUAUCAAAGAUUUUACAACCGGCUGGGGAAAAUGGUGUCAAGAAUUGGAUGUACAGGUGGAAGCACAGAAGUUAGAGGCCCUACAUGAGUAUUGAAUAGAUUAUAAACAACCAUAUUAAUGUUUUAACAGCACAGAAGGACAGCAUCUGAUGGGGAAGUUUCAAGGCACUUGAGACCACAUGACACUUAACUACAGAUGCAAAUUGGAACGCAGGCACUCCGAAAAGGGCUACGUAACAAGCAGCCCGGAAGUUACUCACGAUAAUCAAACUCUAGUACUACCAUUAAUUGCACCAAAUGAACAACAGGCUGUGGUAGUGGCACAUUUCUUCUGGGUAUGUGGAGGGCAAAGAUUAAGGGCAACAUUACCAAAAGGAUGGACAGGCCUUUGUGCAAGGGUUAGGUUGAUUCAACAGAUAACUGUCACUGAAUGGAAUCCUAGUGAUACUAAGCAAAAAAUGACAAAACAUAGAGUAAGGAGGGAAUAUAAUGGGAGCCGCCACCUGGCCAAAACCCUGGAUAAACCUCCGGUAGUAAUUGGCAAACUCAUGCUCCAAUAAUCGUCCAAGCACCCUGCGCACCAGGGACACAUGCGGAGUAUAUCAGAAUGUCAUCAAUAUACACCACUACACCCUGCCCGUGCAGGUCCCUGAAAAUCUCGUCUACAAAGGCUUGCAAAACUGAUGGUGCAUUCAUCAACCCGUAUUGCAUGACGAGGUACUCAUAAUGCCCUGAGGUGGUACUGAACACUGUCUCCCACUCGUCUCCCUACCGGAUAUGCACCAGGUUGUACGCGCUCCUGAGAUCUAGUUUCGUGAAGAAGGGCGCCCCAUGCAUUGACUAAAUCGCCGUGGCGAUGAGAGGUGAUCACUGUGAUUUGAUUUAGACCUCGAUAGUCAAUACACGGGCGCAGACCCCCCUCCUUCUUCUUCACAAAAAAUAAAUUAGAGGAGACGCGUGAAGUGGAAGACCGAAUGUACCCCUCACGCAGGGAUUCGGAGACAUCUGUCUCCAUAGCCACCGUCUCCGCUUGUGACAUGGGAUACACGUGACUCCUGGGAAGUGCGACGUCUACCAGGAGAUUUAUCGCACAAUCCCCCUGUCGAUGGGGUGGUAAUUGAGUCGCCUUCUGUAAGAAGAAAGCCAAAUCAGCAUACUCAGGGGGAAUGUGCACGGUGGAGACCUGGUCUGGACUUUCCACCGUAGUAGCACCAACGGAAACCCCUAAACACCUCCCCCAGCACUCUCGUGACCACCCCUUGAGAGCCCUCCGUUGCCACAAAACAGUGGGAUCAACGCAGGAGAAUCAAUAAGGAAGAGAGUGAUUCUCUCCUUUUGACCCUCCUGCGUCACCAUGCCCAGGGGCGCGGUGACCUCCCUAAUCAACCCGGACUAAUGGUCGACUGUCUACGGCUUGAUUUGGGAAGGGCAUAUCCACUGGAACAAUGGGGAUGCCUAAUCUAUGGGCAAAUGAUCUGUCAAUGAAAUUUCCAGCUGUGCCUGAAUCGACGAGCUCCUUAUGCUGGGGAUGCGGGGAAAACUCAGGAGAAGUAACCUUCAAAAUGUGAGCAACAGAGAGCUCUGGGUGAGCAUGGUGCCGGUUCACCUGAGGUAACGCAAGACUGCCCUGCCUGCUGCCUCGACUCCCAGAGGAACCUCCCCAGCACCGACCGGCAGUGUGCCCUCUGCGGCCACAGAUGCAUGAAACAGUGCAUGAAACAGAACCUCCUCUCUGCUCCAUGGGCGUCGGAGCGGUGGUGCUGGGGGAUGGAACCGACAGACCCCGAUCUGGAUGUCCGCGGUAGCCAGCAGGUUAUGGACAGGUCCACCAGCUAAUCGAAAGUGAGGGUGGUGUCCCUGCAGGCCAACUACUGAAGGACGUCCUCGCGCGAACUGCAACGAUAGUGGUUGAUCAGGGCCCUGUUGUUCCAUCCUACGCCAGCGUCCAGGGUCCAGAAGUCCAGAGCGAACUCCUGGGCGCUCCUCGUCCCCUGCCUCAGAUGAACGAGACAUUCACCGGAUGGUCGAAGACUGCCAGGAAGCUGCAAAGUGGUCCAGCGCAGCCUCUCCUUCUCCCCACAUGGCGUUGGCCCACUCCAGGGCUCUCCCUGAGAGGCAUAUGAGACGAGGGCGGACACCCUCUCUCUGUUUGAAGGCGCCGGGUGAACGGUUGCUAGGUAGAGCUCCAGUUGUAAUAGGAAACCCUGACAUUGUACAGCCGUCCCACCACACUCCCUAGGGAGGGCCAGAUGAAUCCCACUGGGACCAGGUGAAAGAGGGGCAAGUAGUGGAGACCUUGGUUGCACUGGCAGAGGCACUGGAGGACCUCCCUUUCUCUGCCAGCGAUCCAUAGUCUGUAGGACGCGAUCCAUGGUGGCGCCGAGAUGAUGGAGCAUCGCCGCUUGCUCCUGGCCGCGCUCCUCGACCCCAAUAACAGGGGUACCUGGUCCUGCUGACUUCAUGAUGAUAGUGGUGUGUGAUUCUGUCAGGCGGUGGGUGUAGCUGGUGCAUGAAGUCAGGCGCAGGAGAGCAGAGAUGAGUGAACAACGUACUUUACUCAAGAAAAUAGCACUAGUAACAGUACCAAUGAGCGAACAAUAACGGUUGCCACAAAACACGGGUGAAAAAAGGACAAAACCAGACGGAAAUGUACCGACAUGAACAAAAAACAAUCACACACAAAGACAUGGGGGAAACAGAGGAUUAAAUACAUGACCAGUAAUUGGGAAAUGUGUGUGGAAAAACGAGACAAAACAAAUGGAAAAUGAAAAAUGUAUUGGCGAUGGCUAGAAGACCGGCGACGUCGACUGCCGAACACCGCCCGAACAAGGAGAGGUAUCGACUUCGGCAGAAGUCGUGACAGAAGGCUACUGGACAUGCACAUGGGUUAUUCAUACAUAGACAACAUCGCCCUGAACUUGUGAAGACCUUUGGACAGGAACAUUAGUUAAUCAGUUGUAGGCACCAUUAGACCUGCAGUAGGAGUGUGCAUGUCUGUGUGUCACGCCACCAAUAGAAUCUAUGCCCUAAUGUCUGAGCCAGUAAGAGAAUGGAAACUAAGCAAGACAACAAGAUUAGGGUGGCCAAGGCUAAAAGGUAUUAAUAAUUUACAUAAAGUGGAGUGACUGUUAUGUAAGGGUAAAACUGUAUAAAAGCAGAGUACUGAGACUGGAGAGAUCUGUUCUUCCAUGGAAUUGCUCUUCUUCUGUUACUUUUGUAGUAAAGUAUAAUUGAAUUUACAAGUUCCGUUAUCUGUGAAAUAUUUGAUUCAAUAUUUCCAUGACAUAAAUGGCGAACCUGACACCUCACAAGCUGUGUCAUAUCAGAAUGCUUCAUACACCUGUGCAUAUUUUUGUUUCCGCCUUAGCACUACACAGCUGAUUCAAUUGAUCAAGUCAUCAUCAAGCUUCAAGUGCUGUGUUGGUGAACCCCUCCCCCAUCUGAACUGGCUGACACAGAGGGCACAGCGUGAUCAUAGGUAUGUUUUGAUGUGAGGGAGGAAGCCAGUCCCGUCAUCGCCACCUCACCCGCUCUUAAGAUAACCUUUGGGCCAACUUAGGGACCAAGGCUGGUUAGGAGAUAUUGUAAUUGUGAUGAACUGAGAGAAUAUUAGGGUAGCACUGUAAUUCGUUAAUCAUAUGCUGUCUGCCUUUGUUCUUACCUCUUUCCCUUUCUGUCUUCUACGUCUCUCUCCCCACCUCAUCUUUCUUCCUCGUUUUAUAAUGCACACUAUAUGUGCAUUGAAGCACAGAUUAAACUUGUAUUUAUAAUAUAAUAUUGCAAUUAUCAUAAUUAUAAUGCGUUUAUGUAUUUAUAACCCAUGGAUAAUGAACUUCUUUCAAUAAAGUGUUUCUCCAUUGGUUGAAAUUAAGUAUCUAAUUGAAAUACUAUCCUGUGUCCUCAGAUUAUAGCAGAUGAAGGGAGUUAGAUAUGUAUAGUUUUUUUCUGUAUAUAUGAAAUACAAAUCAGCCUUUACUUAAAUCAUGUUUCUAGUCUAUUGCAUAGUUACAAUGUGUAAUCAUUGAUGUCCCAGGAGCAGGAGUGGUAAAGUGAAGUGUAUAAUUGUAAUACGUACAUGCAGGCACAGCAUCAUUCAAAUAAUGGAGUUUGAUACACCUGGUAUUGGAUAUGACUGAAAAAUGAUGUCUCACAGAGAUUCAUACCUGAACCGCACCUUUAUUCGCCAAGCAAGAGUACAUGAUCAGUGAAUAUAUUCAAUGUACAGGCUACAAUGUGGGGAUCUCAUGCGUGGGAAUAACUACAGUACCUACAUCCUGGACACAAUAAAGUUAUUAUAUUCUACUCUAUCCAUAGGCUUCAU